AUGGUGCAGACGCUGCGCCACUGCGAGGCGCCCGCAGCCAAGGGCGAGCAGAAGUGGUGCCCCACGUCACUGGAGUCCAUGAUCGACAUUGCCACGUCCAGCCUUGGAACCAGCCACGUGAGGGCCAUGUCCACCGUCGUCGGUAAGGAGGGAACACCAAGGCAGGAGUACACCCUGACCGACGUAAAAUGCACCGGCGCCGACCGUCUCCUGGUCUGCCACGCGGAGCCGUACGCGUACGCCGUGUUCGCGUGCCACCUGCCUCGGGCAACUAGGGCCUACACAUUGUCGAUGGUCGGCGAGGACGGCACGGCGGUGGAGGCCGUCGCGGUGUGCCACGCUGAAACGGCCGCCUGGAACCCCAGGCACGUCGCAUUCCAGGUGCUCAAGGUGAAGCCUGGCACCGUGCCGGUGUGCCACUUGGUGCCGCAGGACCACGUCGUCUGGACCAGCGGCCGUGAGUUUGCCAGCUAUUUGGAUGUCUGA
rnacentral:rRNA from 1 species